AAAAUUCAAAGGGGAUUAGGUUUUUUUAAUUGUGACCCUUCACAUCUCGUUCCUCACUCGUCUCUCACUCUCGUUCUUCUCAGACUCGCAAUGAACGGCGCGGCGGAGAACUCAUCUUCUCCAGCCGCAAUCUCCUCGCCGCUAACAAAAAUGGAUGAAGCAAACGCUCCUCCUCAGGUCUCUCAUCUCUUAUUGGUUCGUGACUUGCUAUCUUUCCCCAAAUCGAACCUUAACCGAACCCUAAGCUAAUCCCACUCACAAUCGAAUGGCUAAAUCGAGAGAAAUUGAGCAAGAGACACACUCGGAAGAGCCAUAUAGCAUCAAGAGCAAGAAAGAGAUGAAGACUUCGAAGCGAAUGAAUAGAGAGACAUACCGGUUAAUCGCUCCGACGACUCUUUGGUGACGGUGAAGAAAGAAUCCGAGAGAACAAUCCACGAAUUCAGGUAUUGAGAUGGAGAUUGAGUGUAGAUUGGGAUGAUGAUGAUGAUGAUUGAAGAGAUUGAAGCAAUGUUGCAGAGAGUGAAGUGAUGAAGGUGAUGAUUCAAAGAUGAUUUGAAGAUGGGAAGUGAAGAUGGAAUGGUGAUAGUUUGUAGAGGAUGUGGCGAGGUUGUGGCUGAGCUCAAUUGAUAAGAGCUUCAGAUGUUGAAGCUCUAUCAAUGGUGGAUUCGUGAGCUUUUAGUGGAGGUAAGGGAGAGAGAUGAAUGGAGAAUGAAUGAAAUGAAGAAGGUGAUGAAUGAAGCGUGUAAAUGGUGGAGUGAAGAUACAGAGGUUCAGGGGGAGAAAAGUGGUGGUGAAGAUGGUGGAGAAAAAAUGGAGAAUUGUGGAGAGGCCUGAGGAAUGGUGGAGAUGAAGGUUAUAUAGGAAGACUGAACAUGAGAAGGGCUUUGAAACAGAAGUGCCAGCAAGGACAUCAAAAUCCUCAACCAGCUUCAUUGCAUUGCAUGGAAUUGGCAUGGUGUAAUAUGAAUCUGAAUGAGUAGGCCCUGUCAUUGCUUGGAAUUUGUGAGCUGGCUGUAUGAAAUGGUUCAAAGCAUCGCAAGAGGGAAAUGUUUGAAAGCAUGGUAGAGAGGGCUGGAUGCAUCAGGCUUGCAAGAUGGAAUCGAGGAGGCCAGUCUUCCAUUGAUGGCAACUUAGGAUUAGAAACAAUAGGCUAAAACCAUUUUUGUGUAAUUUUGUUAUUUCGUAAUAAGAUUUUGGUAAUGAAUAUUGUAAUAGAUAGCAGCUUGAAGUAAAUAUUGAAUGGGCAUUUGGAAAUGAACUUGUCUUGAA